rnacentral:rRNA from 1 species
AAUGAACGCUGGCGGCGCGCCUAAUACAUGCAAGUCGAGCGAGAAGACGUAGCAAUACGUUUGUAAAGCGGCGAACGGGUGAGGAAUACAUGGGUAACCUACCCUAGAGUGGGGAAUAACUAGCCGAAAGGUUAGCUAAUACCGCGUACGCUCCUUGGACUUCGGUUCAGGGAGGAAAGCGAUACCGAGGGUAUCGCGCUCUUGGAUGGGCUCAUGUCCUAUCAGCNGUUGGUGAGGUAACGGCUCACCAAGGCUUCGACGGGUAGCUGGUCUGAGAGGACGAUCAGCCACACUGGCACUGCGACACGGGCCAGACUCCUACGGGAGGCAGCAGUAAGGAAUAUUGCGCAAUGGGCGAAAGCCUGACGCAGCGACGCCGCGUGGGGGAUGAAGGUCUUCGGAUUGUAAACCCCUUUCGGGAGGGAAGAUGGAAU